CGGCAGGCCUAACACAUGCAAGUCGAGGGGUAACAGAAAGUGCUUGCACUUUGCUGACGACCGGCGAACGGGUGAGUACCGCGUAUACAAUCUGCCUCAUACUAGGGAAUAGCCCGAAGAAAUUUGGAUUAAUGCCCUAUAGUAUCUUUUUAAGGCAUCUUAUUAAGAUUAAAGAUUACGGUAUGAGAUGAGUAUGCGUUCUAUUAGCUAGUAGGUGUGGUAACGGCACACCUAGGCUACGAUAGAUAGGGGCCCUGAGAGGGGGAUCCCCCACACUGGUACUGAGACACGGACCAGACUCCUACGGGAGGCAGCAGUGAGGAAUAUUGGACAAUGGGCGAAAGCCUGAUCCAGCCAUGCCGCGUGCAGGAUGACUGCCCUAUGGGUUGUAAACUGCUUUUAUACAGGAAGAAACUACUCUACGUGUAGAGUUUUGACGGUACUGUAAGAAUAAGGAUCGG
rnacentral:rRNA from 1 species